UACAGAGGCCACGAGCGUUAGGCGGAAUCACUGGGCUUAAAGCGUGUGUAGGUGGAUGGGUAAGUACCUUGUGAAAUCCCACGGCUCAACCGUGGAACUGCUCGGUAUACUGCCUGUCUUGAGGCACUCAGGGGCGAGCGGAACAAAUGGUGGAGCGGUGAAAUGCGUAGAUAUCAUUUGGAACGCCAAUGGUGAAAACAGGUAGCUGGGGAAGUGCUGACGCUGAGACACGAAAGCCAGGGGAGCGAACGGG
rnacentral:rRNA from 1 species